UACGGGGGGGGCAAGCGUUGUUCGGAAUUACUGGGCGUAAAGCGCGCGUAGGCGGACCUGCAAGUCGGGGGUGAAAGCCCGAGGCUCAACCUCGGAACUGCCUUCGAUACUGCGGGUCUCGAGUCCGGGAGAGGUGAGUGGAAUUCCUAGUGUAGAGGUGAAAUUCGUAGAUAUUAGGAAGAACACCAGUGGCGAAGGCGGCUCACUGGUCCGGUACUGACGCUGAGGUGCGAAAGCGUGGGGAGCAAACAGG
rnacentral:rRNA from 1 species